CGCAUCUGUGCAUGCAGCAUAUCAAUAAGCGGAGGAAAAGAAACUAACAAGGAUUCCCCUAGUAACGGCGAGUGAAGCGGGAAGAGCUCAAAUUUGAAAUCUUAAAGGGUUUCCCUUUACGAAUUGUAGUUUAAAGAAGUGUUUUCUGUUGAGGUUUUGGUAAAAGUUCUUUGGAAUAGGACAUCAUAGAGGGUGAGAAUCCCGUAUUUGACCUUUACUUUCAACUUUGUGAUACACUUUCAAAGAGUCGGAUUGUUUGGGAAUGCAGUCCAAAAUGGGUGGUAAAUUUCAUCUAAAGCUAAAUAUUGGCGAGAGACCGAUAGCGAACAAGUACCGUGAGGAAAGAUGAAAAGAACUUUGAAAAGAGAGUUAAACAGUACGUGAAAUUGUCAAAAGGGAAGCGUUUGACACCAGUGUUGUUUUUCUGAAAAUCAAUUAAAGAACUGUUUAUGCUAAGUUGUUUAGACUUUAUCAGCUAACUGUUUAGUUUUGAGCUUUUCUUUAAUGCACUUUUCAGUUAACAAGUCAACAUCAAUUUCUUUUGCUGUAAAAAAGCUUGAGGAAGGUGGCUUGAGAUUCGUCUUAAGUGUUUAUAGCCUCUUGCCUAUGCAGUCGGAGAGAUUGAGGUCUGCAGCGUAGAUCCUUCGGGGCUAAAUGCAUUUGUGCUAAGUUAUAGCAUUUUAUAGACAACUUGUUGACUAUGAUUUGUCUUGUAGCUUACUCGCUUAUGUUAUUUUACCUACGCUUAGGAUGUUGAGUCAUCACACAUCUCU
rnacentral:rRNA from 1 species